AAAGGGGGGGUUCGAUGGAUAAGUGACUGACUGAAUGAAUAAAUCCACAAUAUUUGCUCUUGAUUCAUCAAGGUGAGACUAAGCCACCAUUGGAAUGGGGCGUAUUGCUUGUCAGAUAUUGAGGGAAGGGGAAUAGAAUAGGGAAAGAGUGCGGUGUGGUGAUGGGAACGAAUUUUCUUUGGGGAGUGGUGGUACGGCAUUAGGGGAGGACCACGAGACUUAAAAUCAGAAGAGCAAGUGUCCAGUCCUGACUCUCUGAGUAGCCCUGUGACCCUCCGACAAAUUGUUCAAUCUCUCUGGGCCUCGGUUUCAUCGCUAAAUCAAGACUUUUAAUACCUACAAAUAUUAUUGUAAUAACCUUGGGAUCAAAUGAGACAAGAAUGGGAGAGCAUCUCCAACACACGGGAGAGCAUAUCUGCACACUUUUGAGAAGUUGGCAUCUCGUCAGGUCUGGCUCUGGCUCAAGGUCUUUUCAAUGCACCGUGUAAUUUAUUUUCCCGAUAAUGGCACGCGCCACAUACUUUCGUGACUAACUAGUGUCCUACCCUCCUUCUCUCCUCCAGGCCACACAACCAGAAAGCUUCCUCCUGUCCUGGUACACGGGCUUCUCUCGGCUGGGUCGCUUCACAGAGUGGGCCCGGCCUUUCCUCUAUGGCGACGCUAAUUCUCAAUGCAAUGGGUCUGAGAGAGGGCCUCAUAAGAGCUUCAGAAUAUCUCCUCACCUAUUGUCGGAGCUACGGAGUGUCAGCACUGACAGAGCUUUGCGUGUGUGUGCUUUUCUCUAAAAUUGGGCCUGGGACCAGCAUUAAGGAUUGUGCAGGGUCCCUUCCUUUAUGAGCAGCAAAUCAGGCAGGAAGGAGAGCCAUGCUGUGGGCCCGGCCCUCCUUGGGCCUCGCACUUGUCUGCCUAUCCCUACCACCACCGCCUACGCAGAGGCGCCCCGUGACGAGUCAUCUGGAAGCAGCCCCCUCCCCCUCCCAUGGCACUAGGGCUUUCCGAGGAGCUCGCCAGCUGAGGGAGUGGUUUCUGUGGUAUUGUUGCCACAGCUCAUUUUCCAUUAGGGUCACCAGGCAACCACCAGGAAGCGACAACUCCUGACGUAAACCCUGCUUCACCCAGCGAGAAGCUCUGUAUCCCAUUACUAACCCUGGGCUGGAUGUGCCAAAGGCGCGUUGCUGGUGAGGGCGGAUGGAGGCUUCCAGAGACCAGCUCUCAGCAACGUCGGUGCAGCUGUGAGGCUGGGCUGAGGGAGUGAGGGAGCGUUGGGUGACUCAGGGUGUCACCCAGGAAAUACACUGCUGUGUUCUUUUGAAAUAAAUGAUGCUAACAUCUCAUUUUUGUGUGGUGAUUGACAGUGUUUAAGGCAGAUGUGUUUCCACGGUUGAAAUUUAUCCUUCAACCAGCUGUUUGAGGUAAGUACGGUAUGGUCUUUAUUUGAGCGAUGGGGAAACUGAGGCCCCGAGAGCAAUGUCCUAGGCCAGUGUUGUAUCAGUGAGUAAUUAUUGACUGAGACCAAUCAGGACUUCUUCCCACAUCAUGCUGUGGUGUUCGUCUAUCCUCCUUUCUCAAAGAUGCUGCUCUCCUUGACAAAAUUAGUUAAUUAAUCCGGUCCUUUAUGCAUAUAGAGUGUCUGUACAUGCCAUGUAUUAGUAAAGCAUCAAAUACAACAUGCAACCACCCUGUCCUCAUGGUACUGAAAUCCUGAGAGGUGAUUGGUACAUGCAUGUGAAAUUUCAGGUGCAGGUAAGAACACUGGCGAAAAGUUCAGCAGGGUCGGAGGUGGGGGAGAGCCCCUGUUUUAUGCAGGGUGAGCCGAGAAAGCCUGCCAAGAAGUCGCCGUGGGAUCAGAGCCCGAGAGAAGUGAGGAAGCCCCUGGGGUGGUUCUGGGGCACAUGCCGGACGACAGCACAGACCACAGUACGUGCCCCUCAGCUCUCCAAGAUGGGCUGAAGCCAGAUGACAGAGCAUGAGACCCGAGGAGGAACAGCCUGGGGGUCGACGGCACGCCAAGCAGAAGUGGACAAUAUCUGGUCCCAGCUCACGCCUUGGCUUAAUCGCAACCACAUGAGCAAACUCAGGGCUGCACAGCACAGUUGUAAUUGGAAUAGAGUGUCCUCUGGGAGACUGUUGGGGAUGAAGCUGUUCACUGCAUGAGACGACGCACUGCUGCAGAUAUAAUCCGUUUACCGACGAUCGUACCAGUGGCUAACGUUUACUGUGUGCCUAUUGUGCCCCUGGCACAGCGUUCGAUACCCUGGGAGGAUUACCUCAUUAGUUCUCAUAACACAUCGCACAGAGUUUCCACCUUGCCUGCAUCUUGGAAUGACCUGGGAAAGUUUUACUACUGCAGGUACCUGGUCCCAGAGCUACUAAUUUAACUCAUCUGAGAUGUGGUCCACUCAUAAGCUCUUUCCAUUGGGAGCCGGAUUCUCUUUUCCUGCCCUUUGAAUCUGAGGUGGCCAUGCAGCCUGCCUUAAUCAAUAGAAUCCUGCAGAAGAAAUGUUGUGCCAGUUCUGAGCCUGAGCUUUGCAGGCUUCUGCUUGCUAUCCUGGAACCCCACCAUCGCCAUGUGAAUGACCCUGAUCUGCCCUCCUGGAGGAUCGUAGCUGAGGCCAUCCCAGACCAACCAACUCGGCCCACAAACUCAUGAGGAAGCCUGGCUGAGAUCAGAGCCCGGGCCAGACCCACAGGACCUUUCAGUUGAUCUACAGACUUGUGGGUAAUGAUAAAUGGUGGUUAUUUUAAGCCACUAACUUUGGGUUGAUUUGUUAUGCAACAGUAGGUAGCUGAUACACUUCAAUAUAAUUUCCUAUUUCUCUUUGAGCCUAAAUCGGGUUCUCCCUUUAUCCACUCUCAUAGCACCUUAUACUUGUCAACUGUAUAAUGGAUGACAAUGCUUAUCAGAACUAAAAAUUGUGUAAAUAAUACUUUUUUCUCUCUCUGAUUAGAGUUUAAGCCCCAUGAGAUCAGAGACCACAUUUGAUUUGCUCCCUGAAAUAUUCCUACCAUCUGGCAUUAUUUUAUACACGGUAUAUGCUACACUUGAUCUUAACCAAGAGGCCGAGAAGCGAUACACAUGGUAAAUGCUAAAUAAAUACUUGUCAGAAGACAAACGUAAGGAUGAAUUCAUAUGCUCACUAAACAUGUCCUAAGUACUUUCUCCAUUUUGGGUACCAUGCAAGAUGUUAAAGAUAUCAGAAUGAAUAAGGCAUAGUCUUUGUUCUUAAGGAAAUUCAUGGUUUAAAAGCUGGGACAUGAACAUGUAAAUAAAAAUUGUAGGCCACGUUCAUGAGUGUAAUUGAGGGUGUUUAGCGUGUUGAUAAGAGCAGGGUAUAUCAGUGGGUUGAAUAAAUCUGGAGAAAAGAAGUUCCUGGAAAAUGGUUUAUGGAGUAAAUAUUCGAAAUGAUGAUUCUACAUCUGACAAGUGUGUGGCAAUGGGUGUUCAAAGGCCAUAAGUGGUAUUGCCAUUGGAAAUAGGACUUUUCAGAAUGAUUAACGGAGCUUGCUAAAUUUCCAUAUAAGCCAAAAUGCAAACUUCCCUUGAAUUACAUAACAGUGGCAUUUAUGGA